AGCAGCCGCGGUAAUUCCAGCUCCAAUAGCGUAUAUUAAAGUUGUUGCAGUUAAAAAGCUCGUAGUUGAAUUUCGGGAUCAAUAUAUCGGUCGUGCCUUGGUACGUACUGGUAUCAUUGGUUUCUCCUUUCUGACGAACCAUGAUGUCAUUAAUUUGGUGUUAUGGGAAGUUAGGACUGUUACUUUGAAAAAUUAGAGUGUUUAAAGCGGGCCCACGCUUGAAUACAUUAGCAUGGAAUAAUGAAAUAGGACGUUUGAUUCUAUUUUGUUGGUUUCUAGGAUCGACGUAAUGAUUAAUAGGGAUAGUUGGGGGCAUUAGUAUUCAAUUGUCAGAGGUGAAAUUCUUGGAUUUAUUGAAGACUAACUACUGCGAAAGCAUUUGCCAAGGAUGUUUUCAUUAAUCAAGAACGAAAGUUAGGGGAUCGAAGACGAUCAGAUACCGUCGUAGUC
rnacentral:rRNA from 1 species